rnacentral:rRNA from 1 species
UACGUAGGGGGCUAGCGUUGUCCGGAAUCAUUGGGCGUAAAGAGCGUGUAGGCGGUCCGGUAAGUCCGCUGUGAAAGUCGGGGGCUCAACCCUCGAAUGCCGGUGGAUACUGUCGGGCUAGAGUGCGGAAGAGGCGAGUGGAAUUCCUGGUGUAGCGGUGAAAUGCGCAGAUAUCAGGAGGAACACCUAUUGCGAAGGCAGCUCGCUGGGACGUAACUGACGCUGAGGCACGAAAGCGUGGGGAUCAAACAGG